rnacentral:rRNA from 1 species
AGUCGAGCGGAUGACGGGAGCUUGCUCCUUGAUUCAGCGGCGGACGGGUGAGUAAUGCCUAGGAAUCUGCCUGGUAGUGGGGGACAACGUUUCGAAAGGAACGCUAAUACCGCAUACGUCCUACGGGAGAAAGCAGGGGACCUUCGGGCCUUGCGCUAUCAGAUGAGCCUAGGUCGGAUUAGCUAGUUGGUGGGGUAAUGGCUCACCAAGGCGACGAUCCGUAACUGGUCUGAGAGGAUGAUCAGUCACACUGGAACUGAGACACGGUCCAGACUCCUACGGGAGGCAGCAGUGGGGAAUAUUGGACAAUGGGCGAAAGCCUGAUCCAGCCAUGCCGCGUGUGUGAAGAAGGUCUUCGGAUUGUAAAGCACUUUAAGUUGGGAGGAAGGGCAUUAACCUAAUACGUUAGUGUUUUGACGUUACCGACAGAAUAAGCACCGGCUAACUCUGUGCCAGCAGCCGCGGUAAUACAGAGGGUGCAAGCGUUAAUCGGAAUUACUGGGCGUAAAGCGCGCGUAGGUGGUUUGUUAAGUUGGAUGUGAAAGCCCCGGGCUCAACCUGGGAACUGCAUCCAAAACUGGCAAGCUAGAGUACAGUAGAGGGUGGUGG